rnacentral:rRNA from 1 species
AAUAUUGCGCAAUGGGGGAAACCCUGACGCAGCAACGCCGCGUGAAGGAUGAAGGCCUUCGGGUCGUAAACUUCUUUGAUCAGGGAUGAUAGUGACAGUACCUGAACAACAAGCCACGGCUAACUACGUGCCAGCAGCCGCGGUAAUACGUAGGUGGCGAGCGUUGUCCGGAAUUACUGGGGGUAAAGGGCGUGUAGGCGGGAAUGCAAGUCAGAUGUGAAAUACCGUGGCUUAACCACGGGGCUGCAUCUGAAACUGUGUUUCUUGAGUGUCGGAGAGGAAAGUGGAAUUCCCAGUGUAGCGGUGAAAUGCGUAGAUAUUGGGAGGAACACCAGUGGCGAAGGCGACUUUCUGGACGAUAACUGACGCUGAGGCGCGAAAGCGUGGGGAGCAAACAGG